CCUAACUUCUUCUCUCUAAAUUCUUCUUCGCCUUCUCCCUCGCGACGGCGCCUUCCCAUCUCGGACGAAAUCGCAGCAGUGAGCAAGGGUUUCUCCGGCGCCGGCGAGGGCUUUUCCGGCUAGUCUUCACCUAUGCGAGGUCAUCCCGACGGAGAAGAACUUGCGGGCACAAGAGGAAGCCGAAGUUUUUGCAAGACCCGAGCCUCCGAAAACCCUAAGGCCUUUUCCUUCCUUCUUCUCAGUUGUAAGUGCAAGAAACCCUAGAUAAAGGAAAAGCUAAGAUAUGAAGGGAGGCGAUAGGGUGGUGGUGAUGAUGGAUGUGUGUGGUGGCUGGACUAUGGAGAGAUCCAGAAUGAGCUGGCAAAUUGCCAAGACUUUUCUGUUUAGUUCUUUUAGUUCUCUUUUAAGUGUUAUUAUGGGUUGAGACUGUAAAUAAGUUUAUUCCGCAUUUGUAAUUAGUUUUCUUUUAUUAUGAGUUGGAGUAGUAUAGUUGUUGCUA